rfam:Triticum aestivum genome assembly, contig: Triticum_aestivum_CS42_TGACv1_scaffold_221570_3B
AAUGUACCUACCGUCCGGAAAUACUUGUCAUCAAAAUGGAUGAAAACCGAUGUAUUUAUAACUAAAAUACAUCUAGAUACAUCCAUGACAAGUAUUUUCGGACGAAGGGAGUACAAU